GGUAACCUUAGGGAAAGUGCCAUAGAAAAGGAAACCGCCACGUAAGUGGUAAGGGUGGAAAGGUGAGGUAAGAGCUCACCAGCAGUCUGGUAACAGGCUGGCUCGGUAAACCCCAUCCGGAGCAAGACCGAAUAGGGAAGGGUUAAGGGUGGUCCCGCCUACCUUUCGGGUUGUGUCGCUCGAGCGUGCAGGCGACUGUACGCCUAGAAAGAUAAUCGUCACCGCGCAAGCGGAACAGAACUCGGCUUAUUGAUUGCUUGCUUCU
rnacentral:RNase_P_RNA from 1 species